GAUGAACGCUGGCGGCGUGCCUAAUACAUGCAAGUCGAGCGAACAGACGAGGAGCUUGCUCCUCUGACGUUAGCGGCGGACGGGUGAGUCCCACGUGGUUAACCUACCUAUACGACUGGGAUAACUUCGGGAAACCGGAGCUAAUACCGGAUAAUAUAUUGAACCUCAUGGUUCCAUCGUGAAAGUAGGUUUUUCUGUCACUUAUAGCUUGCUCCGCGCCGCAUUAGCUAGUUGGUAAGGUAACGGCUUACCAAGGCAACGAUGCGUAGCCGACCUGAACGGGUGAUCGGCCACACGGGAACUGAGACACGGUCCAGACUCCUACGGGAGGAAGCAGUAGGGAAUCUUCCGCAAGGGGCGAGAGCGGAACGGAGCAACGCGGCGUGAGUGAUGAAGGUCUUCGGAUCGUAAAGCGCUGUAAUUAGGGAAGAACAAAUGUGUAAUUAACUAUGCACGUAUUGACGGUACCGAAUCAGAAAGCCACGGCUAACUACGUG
rnacentral:rRNA from 1 species